AUUGAACGCUAGCGGGAUGCUUUACCCAUGCAAGUCGAACGAGUGGCGGACGGGUGAGUAAUCUAUCGGAACGUGCCCAGUAGAGGGGGAUAACUACUCGCAAGAGUGGCUAAUAACGCAUACUAUUGGAGCGGCCGAUAUGUGAUUCGCUAGUUGGCGGGUUAAAGGCUCACCAAGGCAACGAUCCGUGGCAGGUUUGAGAGGACGACCAGCCACACGGGGACUGAGACACGGCCCAGACUCCUACGGGAGGCAGCAGUGGGGAAUUUUGGACAAUGGGGGAAACCCUGAUCCAGCCAUCCCGCGUGUAUGAGAAGGCCUUCGGGUUGUAAAGUACUUUUGGCAGAGAAGCGGUAUCUGCAGAAUAAGCACCGGCUAACUACGUGCCAGCCGCCGCGGUAAUAC
rnacentral:rRNA from 1 species